UCUGCGUGUUUCUACCCCUCUCUGAGUUGU
rnacentral:piRNA from 1 species